GGCCACAUCUCGUUGAAAAGAGCACAUUAUAUACGAUCACUGAAGUUAAGCAACGUCGAGCCUGGGCAAUACCUAGAUGGGUGACUGCUUGGGAAUACCAGGUGCUAUA